UACGGAGGGUGCAAGCGUUAUCCGGAUUUACUGGGUUUAAAGGGUGCGUAGGUGGGUAGGUAAGUCAGUGGUGAAAUCUUCGAGCUUAACUCGGAAACUGCCAUUGAUACUAUUUAUCUUGAAUACUUUGGAGGUAAGCGGAAUAUGUCAUGUAGCGGUGAAAUGCUUAGAUAUGACAUAGAACACCAAUUGCGAAGGCAGCUUACUACACAGUUAUUGACACUGAGGCACGAAAAGCGUGGGGGAUCAAACAGG
rnacentral:rRNA from 1 species